AGUCAAAGUAGACUGGAACGAGUGCACAUGUCUGUAAGUUAUAGUUGCGUACUUCAUCAACUAUCUAGCACUACAGAAGAGGAGCGAGAAAAGCAAAGUGUUGCAGGUAAUGGAGAAAAUGGAGACUAGAAAUGAGCUGCAAAGAUGCAAUGGGAAAUGCGGGAUGGACAAUAAUAAAGAGAGACGACUCCUUCAGCUGCUUUUCCUCAGCUUUGGUGUGCUGUGUGUCAUACAAGCCACUCUCAAUCUUGCUUUACGCCUCACAUUCGAGGGGAAUGACUCACCCCACACAAAAAAGUUAUGUGGCAACAACCAGUUAAAACCAGGAAAUUUUAACCAAAAUUCUUGUAGCGAACUACAAGAAAGAAUCAUUGCUUUGAACAGAGACAGAAGCCUGCUUGAAAAGAGAAAUGAAGAGCUCCUUAACAUCAUAAAGAGUCUUGAGGAGGAGAAGAAGAGGCAGAAUGGUUUCAUCUCAUCGUAUAAUUAGAAAAAUGGCGGCUCAUAUGAAACAGUUGAGUUUCUCUCUAAAAUGGUUUUGGUAUUAUUUCAACAAAGUUUAUUAUUAUUAUUAUUAUUAUUAUUAUUAUUAUUAUUAGUCUAUAAUCUGUUUUAAGCUAAUUGUCCCACAUGUUUGACUUUUGCAGUUAAUGAUUGUGAUUGUAUUACAGUUUGGAUUUCUGUUUGGGGUUUUUAAAAAUUUUUUUUUAUAAUUUUUAUUAAUUAUUCUUUGAAAUGUUUAUGUCUGUAUUAUUCUGAAAGAGAAUUUCUUGUUAAAUUGAGUUGUUCAUGUCUGGUUUUACUUCAUGGUUUUCAUUAUAAUUUCUGUUUUACCAUCCAUCAUUUCUACCAAAGUGAGCUGUAUUUUUUUUAUUAUUUUUCUUUAUGAAGGUUUUGGGUCCUAUUUGUUAAAUUUCACACUAGUUUCUUGUCUAUUUGUCUCCUCAUGGCUGUCGGACUUUUGGAUUUGUUUCUCAUUUGCUUCUUGGACUUUCUUACGCCCUGAAUUUCUACAUUAACCUCAAUAAAAUGGCUUGUUUUUUGUUAGUAAGUCUGCCAUCUGUGUCCUGCUUUUGGGUCCUAACCUUUACAUGCCACACGACCUAACAAACCAAUCUUUUCAUGCAGUUUAGAACACUGAAUAUUUUCACAUUUUUUUCUUAUUUUCCAGCACAUUAGACCUUAUUUUGUCUUCCUACACCUGCACUAGAAGUCUCUGAAGUCAAAGAUAUGAUAAAUAGAAUAGAAAGUUUAUAUUUAUAGAACUGUAUCUUUGUAGUACAGUCAAUUUCACUAACAAAUUGCAUUUUGUACCUAAAGCUUCUCUAAAGCACAUCUCAGCGCAUUAUUGUGUAGGCUGUGAAUGGUUGUUUGUCACUUUCACAGAGCUGAGCAGUGGAGCAUCAUCUCAGCAGCCUCCUUAUCAUUGGAGGGAAGUCAUAUCUAGAUGUUUUCCCCUUUCUACUGGGAACAAAAUGGCAGAAAGCAGAAAGUCUUGUGCGAGUGAAGAAGCUAACCUGGUUCUGAUCAACAGUUAACAGAGAACAAAUAGCCUACAAAAGGAACUGUUAAAGAAAGAGUUACAUUAACAAAUCGUACGUUUGUAAUGUUGCUAAAACAUGAAUUCAAGUCAUGUAUUUCACCAGAUCUCAGAAGAAAAUACAUCUACUCCACUAUAUUUAUUUGACAGCAAAUGUUAAAAAUUCACAUUUUGCACAUAAACAACAGCCAUCAAAUGAUG
ensembl:lncRNA